rnacentral:rRNA from 1 species
GAUGAACGCUGGCGGCGUGCCUAAUACAUGCAAGUCGAGCGAACGGACGAGAAGCUUGCUUCUCUGAUGUUAGCGGCGGACGGGUGAGUAACACGUGGAUAACCUACCUAUAAGACUGGGAUAACUUCGGGAAACCGGAGCUAAUACCGGAUAAUAUUUUGAACCGCAUGGUUCAAAAGUGAAAGACGGUCUUGCUGUCACUUAUAGAUGGAUCCGCGCUGCAUUAGCUAGUUGGUAAGGUAACGGCUUACCAAGGCAACGGUGCAUAGCCGACCUGAGAGGGUGAUCGGCCACACUGGAACUGAGACACGGUCCAGACUCCUACGGGAGGCAGCAGUAGGGAAUCUUCCGCAAUGGGCGAAAGCCUGACGGAGCAACGCCGCGUGAGUGAUGAAGGUCUUCGGAUCGUAAAACUCUGUUAUUAGGGAAGAACAUAUGUGUAAGUAACUGUGCACAUCUUGACGGUACCUAAUCAGAAAGCCACGGCUAACUACGUGCCAGCAGCCGCGGUAAUACGUAGGUGGCAAGCGUUAUCCGGAAUUAUUGGGCGUAAAGCGCGCGUAGGCGGUUUUUUAAGUCUGAUGUGAAAGCCCACGGCUCAACCGUGGAGGGUCAUUGGAAACUGGAAAACUUGAGUGCAGAAGAGGAAAGUGGAAUUCCAUGUGUAGCGGUGAAAUGCGCAGAGAUAUGGAGGAACACCAGUGGCGAAGGCGACUUUCUGGUCUGUAACUGACGCUGAUGUGCGAAAGCGUGGGGAUCAAACAGGAUUAGAUACCCUGGUAGUCCACGCCGUAAACGAUGAGUGCUAAGUGUUAGGGGGUUUCCGCCCCUUAGUGCUGCAGCUAACGCAUUAAGCACUCCGCCUGGGGAGUACGACCGCAAGGUUGAAACUCAAAGGAAUUGACGGGGACCCGCACAAGCGGUGGAGCAUGUGGUUUAAUUCGAAGCAACGCGAAGAACCUUACCAAAUCUUGACAUCCUUUGACAACUCUAGAGAUAGAGCUUUCCCCUUCGGGGGACAAAGUGACAGGUGGUGCAUGGUUGUCGUCAGCUCGUGUCGUGAGAUGUUGGGUUAAGUCCCGCAACGAGCGCAACCCUUAAGCUUAGUUGCCAUCAUUAAGUUGGGCACUCUAAGUUGACUGCCGGUGACAAACCGGAGGAAGGUGGGGAUGACGUCAAAUCAUCAUGCCCCUUAUGAUUUGGGCUACACACGUGCUACAAUGGACAAUACAAAGGGCAGCGAAACCGCGAGGUCAAGCAAAUCCCAUAAAGUUGUUCUCAGUUCGGAUUGUAGUCUGCAACUCGACUACAUGAAGCUGGAAUCGCUAGUAAUCGUAGAUCAGCAUGCUACGGUGAAUACGUUCCCGGGUCU